rnacentral:rRNA from 1 species
GGACUACACGGGUAUCUAAUCCCGUUUGCUCCCCUGGCUUUCGCGCCUCAGCGUCAGAAGAGGUCCAGUCGCUCGCUUUCGCCACCGGCGUUCCUUCCUAUAUCAACGCAUUUCACCGCUCCACAGGAAGUUCCAGCGACCCCUACCUCGCUCUAGCCAGUCCGUAUCCAAGGCCCUUUUCCGGUUAAGCCGAAAAAUUUCACCCCGGACGUGACCGGCCGCCUACGCGCCCUUUAAGCCCAGUGAAUCCGAACAACGUUCGCACGGUUCGUCUUACCGCGGCUGCUGGCAC